CUUGGCAGUACGUAACUCUUCCGUUCGAUAGAAUUCGGGAGUAAAAAUGGCAGUGUUCAGUAGAUUAUUAUUCGGAAAUAAUCAAAAAUUGUUACAAACUAAUGGAUUACUGACAAAACUGCUGAAUAAGAAUAGUCCAUUACUUAAUAAACAAACAGGAAGUCUAAGAUGCAUGUCAGAGCAUCGAACAAUACCUAUACAUGCAAGUCGCUGGCAAUGGCAUAAAACCAAGGAUUGGAUACACUUCUACUUUUUCGUGGGUGCUAUACCUGUUGCUCUGAUUAUUUUCUAUGCAAACGUGUUUAUAGGCCCUGCAACACUAGAAGAAAUACCAGAAGAUUAUGUUCCACAACGAUGGGAAUAUUUUCGAUCUCCAAUUACAAGAUUCCUUGCAAGAUACGUGUUUCCAAACCCACAGCAAGAAUACGAGAAGCUUCUUGCCUAUUUGGAAAUUACCGAUGCAAAAAGGAGAUUGCGAUUGCUACAUAAUCAAUUUAUCGAUAAUAUCAAGGAUCAUCAGGAUUAUCCAGCAUAUUCUUAUCAUAGAGCUAUGAAAUUUACGUACAUCAAAGAAUAUAGGAAAAUGAUGGAUGAGGGAACAGUAUAAUUCAUUUGAAUCUGUUACAGUUGAUUUAUAUACAUAGUGCACCCAAAUAUUGUACAAAACAAUAUGUUUCAAGGAUCACAAGGGAAUUGUACUUCUUGUGCAUAGGUGUCUUCUCUUGAAGAGCAGAUAUUAUUGCAAAAGGAAAUGUUGGAAAAUAAACGAAGUAACGUUUGCCAAUGGGA
rnacentral:misc_RNA from 1 species